rnacentral:rRNA from 1 species
GAUGAACGCUGGCGGCGUGCCUAAUACAUGCAAGUCGAGCGAACAGACGAGGAGCUUGCUCCUCUGACGUUAGCGGCGGACGGGUGAGUAACACGUGGAUAACCUACCUAUAAGACUGGGAUAACUUCGGGAAACCGGAGCUAAUACCGGAUAAUAUAUUGAACCGCAUGGUUCAAUAGUGAAAGACGGUUUUGCUGUCACUUAUAGAUGGAUCCGCGCCGCAUUAGCUAGUUGGUAAGGUAACGGCUUACCAAGGCGACGAUGCGUAGCCGACCUGAGAGGGUGAUCGGCCACACUGGAACUGAGACACGGUCCAGACUCCUACGGGAGGCAGCAGUAGGGAAUCUUCCGCAAUGGGCGAAAGCCUGACGGAGCAACGCCGCGUGAGUGAUGAAGGUCUGCGGAUCGUAAAACUAUGUUAUUAGGGAAGAACAAAUGUGUAAGUAACGAUGCACGUCUGGACGGUACCUAAGCAGAAAGCCACGGCUAACUACGG